rnacentral:rRNA from 1 species
CCAGACUCCUACGGGAGGCAGCAGUGAGGAAUAUUGGUCAAUGGGCGGAAGCCUGAACCAGCCAAGUCGCGUGAGGGAAGAAGGCCCUGCGGGUCGCAGACCUCUUUGGACGGGGAGCAAGGCCGCCGACGUGUCGGCGGAAGGAGAGUACCCGUAGAACAAGCAUCGGCUAACUCCGUGCCAGCAGCCGCGGUAAUACGGAGGAUGCGAGCGUUAUCCGGAUUUAUUGGGUUUAAAGGGUGCGUAGGCGGCCUUUUAAGUCAGCGGUGAAAGUCUGUGGCUCAACCAUAGAAUUGCCGUUGAAACUGGGGGGCUUGAGUAUGUUUGAGGCAGGCGGAAUGCGUGGUGUAGCGGUGAAAUGCAUAGAUAUCACGCAGAACCCCGAUUGCGAAGGCAAGUGUCCGGGGUGCAACUGACGCUGAGGCUCGAAAGUGCGGGUAUCAAACAGGAUUAGAUACCCCUGUA